rnacentral:rRNA from 1 species
GGAGUCUAGCAUGUGCGCGAGUCAUUGGGAUAAUGUUAAACCUAAAGGCGCAAUGAAAGUGAAGGUCCGCCUCGCGCGGACCGAGGGAAGAUGGGCGGCCGUCACGGCUGCCGCCCCGCACUCCCGGGGCGUCUCGUUCUCAUUGCGAGAAGAGGCGCACCAAGAGCGUACACGCUGGGACCCGAAAGAUGGUGAACUAUGCCUGGUCAGGACGAAGUCAGGGGAAACCCUGAUGGAGGUCCGUAGCGAUUCUGACGUGCAAAUCGAUCGUCGGAACUGGGUAUAGGGGCGAAAGACUAAUCGAACCAUCUAGUAGCUGGUUCCCUCCGAAGUUUCCCUCAGGAUAGCUGGCGCUCAUAGCGUACGAGUUUCAUCCGGUAAAGCGAAUGAUUAGAGGCAUUGGGGUCGAAACGGCCUCAACCUAUUCUCAAACUUUAAAUGGGUGAGAUCUCCGGCUUGCUCGAACUCUUGAAGCCGCGAGACUCGAAUCAGAGUGCCAAGUGGGCCAUUUUUGGUAAGCAGAACUGGCGCUGUGGGAUGAACCAAACGCCGAGUUAAAGCGCCUAAAUCGACGCUUAUGGGAUACCAUGAAAGGCGUUGGUAACUUAAGACAUCAGGACGGUGGCCAUGGAAGUC